AAAUGCUCUGCUCUCUUCUCUUUUCCUCCCUGUCCCCCGGGGCUGGAGGAACACAGGCCUCCCCAGGCACCCAGCCUCAACCUUGCUGGACUCCCAUCUCCCUCCAAGGGCCGGGCCUAGGUCUCCAGAAACAGAGGGCUCAGAAAGCACUUGUAAAGGCCAGCAGAGGACACAUGCACUAAUUGGAACCCUACUGUAUGCUGGGUGAAGACUUGGACACAGAGUGGCUUUCAGAAGACCUAGCACGUUCCACGGCCUGUAGAAGUGGGCAUCUGAGCUCUGGAGAGAGGGGAGGAUUCACCAGAGGCCUUGUGACCAGUCCCUGGGGGAAUAUCCUGCCUUAUUGCAAUAGCAAAGGACUGGAAACACCAAAGGCCCAUCAAUAAGGGACUGCUUACAUCAGUCAUGACCAUGGCCAAGUGUCCAGCAAUGACAGUGCACCACAGCAAGGUGCAACGACAUGGUGGGAGAAGCAGCAGAACCCCAAAGGCUACCAACACCAUCCUCCUCUUCCUCUGAAGAGUAAAAUCUGUCAAGAUAAAAACUAAACUAUAGUGUCAGAGAUGCUUAUAAAGAAAAGUAAGGAAGUGGGAGAGGAGGUGUAGCUUGGUGGGAGAGCAUUUGUCUGGCAUGCACAAGACCCUGGGGUCUACACCCAGGACCAUGGGGAAACAAAUGUAAGGAAUAGUUGCUAAAAAAGUUAGGACAGAGUUACUAACGGGAAGUAAGGGGACAUUUGAGAUGCUCUGGGGAUACUGGCAAAUUUUAUUUCUUUUGUUUUUCUUUUCUGUUUUUUUCAGUGCUGGGUUCAAACCCAGGCCUUGCACAUACUAGACAAGUGCUUUACCUCUGAGC